UNAUUCGACGCAACGCGCAGAACCUUACCAACCCUUGACAUACUUGUCGCGGAUUCCAGAGAUGGAUUCCUUCAGUUCGGCUGGACAAUGUACAGGUGCUGCAUGGCUGUCGUCAGCUCGUGUCGUGAGAUGUUCGGUUAAGUCCGGCAACGAGCGCAACCCACGUCCUUAGUUACCAGCAUUUAGUUGGGUACCCUAAGGAGACUGCCGGUGAUAAGCCGGAGGAAGGUGUGGACGACGUCAAGUCAUCAUGGCCCUUACGGGUUGGGCUACACACGUGCUACAAUGGCAUCUACAGUGAGUUAAUCUCCAAAAGAUGUCUCAGUUCGGAUUGGGGUCUGCAACUCGACCCCAUGAAGUUGGAAUCGCUAGUAAUCGCGGAACAGCAUGCCGCGGUGAAUACGUUCCCGGGCCUUGUACACACCGCCCGUCACACCAUGGGAAUUGGGUCUACCCGAAGGUGGUGCGCCAACUAUU
rnacentral:rRNA from 1 species